GCCCAAAGGUCACCUGCUCCAGUUGCUUUGGAGCAUCACUUGUCUGGAAAACAGGAGAAAAAACAAGUGAAGAAUCUCCGUGACACAACUGGAAGAACAGUUUUGUUCCCUUCUGUUUUCUCAAGAAGACAAUUUUCAAGAAUGGAGAUGUCACCACCUACCUCCAAGCCUGUCCCAGUGCUUGACAACCCUUCCCACUGAGAAGUGUGAACAUUAGUUUGCAUAAAUGGUUCUUAUGAAGGCACCUUUCCCAUCCCAGCGAUUGCAGUUUGAGGUUUCCCUCGCUGCAGCUGGUAAGACUGCCGUGUAAAUAAGUUGACCCAGCAGAACUCCAGUCAAACUGCUGGAAGCAGUGGAUUGAUCCCCGUUGGAUUCACUGCUCUCCAGAUGAGACCAGUAAUUACACAGCUCAUCACUGAUUGCCUUUUCUCCUGCUGCUAAUUGUUACUUCUUGGUUAGCUGAAUACUUAAUAGAGAGGAAGAACAUCGUGUUGUAUUGUAUCCUUUUCAAUUUUUUUUUUCUUGUAAUUUCUGUUCUUUUCCAGUUUGGAAAAGAAAGAGCUGGCUACUGCAGUGAGAGUCCUUUUCUAUUUUUUUUUUAAUUGAAAGAAUUUAAACACAACUGUUAAGAAUUUUGAUUAAUAUUCUAGUCUUAUGCUGCAGCAAUAAUACUGGGGUUUUUUAAGAUUAAAGGGAAAAUUCAAGGGAUUUUCUGGCUAUCAAGGAAUUACAGAAUCAUAGAAUAUCCUGAGUUGGAAGGGACCCACAAGGAGCAUCGAUAUCCAACUCCUGGCUGGCCUCAGAGUUUUCCUGUAACCACAGAAUGGGACCACAAGAGGUCAACAGCGACCUAUAAUGACUGAUACCCCUUCUUUCUAUAUAUUAAAUACAUUGUAAUAAAAACACCUAAUCAGACUAGAUUUUCUAGCUAUUUUAGAGAAGAUCUUCUGUUGUUUGUAGAAAUAAACAUAAGAUUGUUAAGAAUCUCUUUUUCUAAAGACAUUUGAAGGGUGAUGAUCUGGCGCUCAUUAAUUAAUCUGUUUGCCUUUAUACAGAAAGGAAGUUAUCAAAAACUAAGUAAAUUGUCUAGAAAUGCACGUUUUCCAGAGAUCAUGAUUGGUUUUGUUUGUAUAAUAAUAAAAUAGGCCUACAUUCACUGUGUGAAAUUUGUCACCAUGGCCAUUAAUGUGCAAAUUUAUUUCUAUAUCUAUAUACACAUAGAAAAAUAUUUCACUGAGAUGUUAAAGUGGCACACUGACUUCCUUCUUAAAGCUUGUUGUGUAGGGUUAAGACUUACCAGCUGAUCACUCUGACAACUUUUAUUGUACUGUUUGAGUUGAUAGAAAGGAAGCAUCUACACACCCCCAGCAUUUACUUUAUUAACACCUAAACUUCAGUCUGUGCAGCUGGAAAAUGCAUUUUUUUCCCCACAACUCCUUUUUUUAUCAUUCUAUGUCUCAUAAUCGCUUUCUCUUUUAACAAUUAGAUGAAGACCUCAGAAUUAGCUGUUCUCCAGGAUGAAGAGGCUGAAUGAGAGUAACACUCCAAGCUUUUUAAUGAACACCAGUUGUGUUUCUUUCUCAUCCAUAGAGUCAGAGAAUGAUUUGGGAAGGGACAUUAAAGCUCAUCAAGUUCCACCUUCCACUAUCCCAGGUUGCU